ensembl:lncRNA
GUUUUGAACAGGUACAGAAGUUGCUUGGUUAGUAGUUGAGAUUCCAGUAGAUAACUGUUCUGUUGAAACAUGUUCUUUGGUAUUAAGUGUUGAUAUAGAUGGUACAGAUGUUGAGAAGGGGUUUUGAACAAUUGUAGUGGCUAGUUGGUCAGAGCUCAGCUGUCCAGUAGAAACACUCUCAGUUGCAUUGAAUCCAGUUUGUACAGGAGUUGAGGUGGUGUUUUGAACAGGUACAGAAGUUGCUUGGUUUGUAGUUGAGAUUCCAGUAGAUAACUGUUCUGUUGAAACAUGUUCUGUGGUAUUAAUGGUAGAUUUCGUUGGUACAGAUGUGAAGGUGUUUUGAACAAAUAUAGUAGCCACUUGGUUAGAGGUCAGCUGUCCAGUUGAAACUUGCUCAGGGUUAUUGAAUGUAGUUUGUACAGGAGUUGAAGUGGUGUUUUGAAAAUAUUCAGUACUUCCUUGAAUGGCUAUUGAACUUGUUGGGGUGUUUUGAACAAUUGUAGUAAUAGUUUGGUUAGAGCUCAACUUUCCACUAGAAACAUACUCUGUUGCUUUGAAUGUAGUUUGUACAGGAGUUGUGGUGGUGUUUUGAACAAGUACAGAAGUUGCUUGGUUAGUGGUUGAGAUUCCAGUAGUUAACUGUUCAGUUGUAACAGGUUCUGUGUUAUUAAUGGAUAAUGUAGUUUGUACAGAUGUUGAGAAGGGGUUUUGAACAAUUGUAGUAGGUUUUUGGUCAGAGCUCAGCUGUCCAGUAGAAACACUCUCAGCGGCAUUGAAUGUAGUUUGUACAGGAGUUGAGGUGGUGUUUUGAACAGGUACAGAAGUUGCUUGGUUAGUAGCUGAGAUUCCAAUAGUUAAAUGUCCUGUUGAAAUUUGCUCUGUGGUAGUAAUUGUUGAUGUAGCUAGUACAGCUGUUGAGGGGGUGCUUUGAAUAGUUACAGGAGUUGCUUGGUUAGCUGUUGAGACUUCAGUUUUUAACUGUUCAGUUGCAACGUGUUCUGUGGUAUUAAUGAUAGAUGUAGUUGGUACAGAUGUUGUCUGGGUGUUUGGAAUAGUUCUUGUAGUAGCUUGGUCAGAGGUCAGCUGUCCAGUAGAAACAUCUGCUGUGUUAUUGAGUGUAGUUGUUUUUUGAACAGGUGGAGAAGUGGACAGGUCGGAUAUUAUGAGUCUGGUAGAGAAAUCUCCGGCUGAACUUUGCUCUGUAGAUGUAGCUGGUGCAGAUGUUAAGUUUAUAUUUUCUCCAUGUAUGACUGCAUUUGAUGCAGUAGAUGGUUGAUCAGAUGUUGGGUAUUCAGUAGUUAACGGUCCAAUUGUAACUUGCUCUGUGGUUCUGAAUGUAGUUGGUCCAGGGUUUGCUGUAGUGUUUUGGAUAGGUGCAGCAAUAGAUGUUUCUGUAGAUGUUUUUGCAGUGAGACAACACAUUCC